AUUGCUUCUCAGCCUUUUGGCUAAGAUCAAGUGUAGUAUCUGUUCUUUUUAGUUUAAUAUCUUAUAUGUCCUCUACCUGAGGACAUUAUAUUAAAUGGGUUUUCAGAGCUAGGAGAUGGAAUAGGAGCUUGCUUCGUCCACUCUGCGCAUCGACCCAGUAUUGCAGUACUUCCAGAAAGGGCGCACAAUAA